GUUCUAAAUUCAACAGUAUAUAUUCUAAUAUUGAAAUGACAUAGAAGAUUAGCAUGACUCCUGUGCAUUUGUGUUUUUUGGGAAGCAUUCCAUAUUUCU
rnacentral:snRNA from 1 species